rnacentral:rRNA from 1 species
CGGAAAGCCUGAUGCAGCGACGCCGCGUGAGGGAUGAAGGGCCUUCGGGUUGUAAACCUCUUUCAGUAGGGAAGAAGCGGAAGUGACGGUACCUACAGAAGAAGCACCGGCUAACUACGUGCCAGCAGCCGCGGUAAUACGUAGGGUGCGAGCGUUGUCCGGAAUUAUUGGGCGUAAAGAGCUUGUAGGCGGUUUGUCGCGUCUGCUGUGAAAAUCCGGGGCUCAACUCCGGACUUGCAGUGGGUACGGGCAGACUAGAGUGUGGUAGGGGAGACUGGAAUUCCUGGUGUAGCGGUGAAAUGCGCAGAUAUCAGGAGGAACACCGAUGGCGAAGGCAGGUCUCUGGGCCACUACUGACGCUGAGAAGCGAAAGCGUGGGGAGCGAACAGGAUUAGAUACCCUGGUAGUCCACGCCGUAAACGUUGGGAACUAGGUGUGGGUCUCAUUCCACGAGAUCCGUGCCGCAGCUAACGCAUUAAGUUCCCCGCCUGGGGAGUACGGCCGCAAGGCUA